rnacentral:rRNA from 1 species
UGUCGUUGUUUAUUACUUGGAUAUCCACGGUAAUUCUAGAGCUAAUACAUGCGUCCAGACCCGACUUUUGCGAAAGGGUUGGGUUUUUAAAACAUUGACCCACCCCGGCUUGCCCGGUUUCGAGGUGAUUGAUGGUAAUCGAACGAAUCGCAUGCUUCGCCGGCAAUAAUUCUUUCAAUUUCCGAACCUAUCACCUUCCAACGGAAGGGAAUGGGCCUACCGGGGCUUUAACGGGAAACGAAAAAUUAGGGUUUGAUUCCGGAAAGGAACCCGAAAAAACGGCUACCCCUUCUAAGGAAGGCACCAGGCCCCCAAAUUACCCAUCCCGGACCCAGGAAGGAAUGGACAAAAAAAACCAAAAUAAGGCUUUUUGUCUUGGAAUUGGAAUGAACACAAUUUAAACCCCUUUUCCAAUAUCCAUUGGAGGGCAAGUCUGGU